rnacentral:misc_RNA from 1 species
GAAAUGCGAUAAGUAGUGUGAAUUGCAGAAUUCAGUGAAUCAUCGAAUCUUUGAACGCACAUUGCGCCCCUCGGUAUUCCGUGGGGCAUGCCUGUUCGAGCGUCAUUUAAACCCUCAAGCACUGCUUGGUGUUGGGCACCUGUCGCGCACCUUUGCGCCGACUUGCCCCAAAUGCAUUGGCAGCUACCCCUGCCGGCCUCUAGCGCAGCACCAUGCGUGUCAAGGCUCGGCCCGCGGCGGCAUCCACCGCUCAAAACCUUAAUUUGACCUCGGAUCAGGUAGGGAUACCCGCUGAACUUAA